AGACCCACAGCGCUCUCUGACAGAAGACAGUGACAUGAUAGGAGUGGUGACACAAAGCUCUUACUGUUACAUUCAAUAAUUGAUUCUCCUGGAUGGAUUGUGACUCCCUAAAGGUUGCAAAGAGAGAAAGAGUUGAAUUAUCCUACUGCUUACCAAGAGAAGAAAAACAGCAUAAGAAUACUGGUUAAUGGGCAUGCUUUGGAUUCACACUGGAUCCUGGAAGCAGAAUUGUCCCCUGUGAAUGUAGAAGUAUCAUGGCUCAUCUGAGAAAAACUUGUCCAUUUUCGAGGCAUCAGUUACAAGGACAGUGCAAUCCAGAGUGACCCAGGGGGUCACAGCUUGUUCCUGUAGGACCAGGGCUGUGCCAGCCCCAGCAUUCCUG